rnacentral:hammerhead_ribozyme from 1 species
AUCCAGUUGACGAGUCCCGAACAGGAUGAAAUACAUGUACUGGAU